UUUCCUACGGGAGGCAGCAGUGGGGAAUAUUGCACAAUGGGGGAAACCCUGAUGCAGCAACGCCGCGUGAGUGAAGAAGUAUUUCGGUAUGUAAAGCUCUAUCAGCAGGGAAGAAGAAAGACGGUACCUGACUAAGAAGCCCCGGCUAACUACGUGCCAGCAGCCGCGGUAAUACGUAGGGGGCAAGCGUUAUCCGGAUUUACUGGGUGUAAAGGGCGUGUAGGCGGGCUUGUAAGUCAGAAGUGAAAUCUGGGGGCUUAACCCCCAAACUGCUUUUGAAACUGCGGGUCUUGAGUGAUGGAGAG
rnacentral:rRNA from 1 species